UAGUGUAAAUCGUCAUUGCUGCGGUUAAAAAGCUCGUAGUUGGAUCUGAGUUACAUGCAGUGAUUCGCCUUUGGCGUUAAUCGCUGUUGUAACUAUUUGCUGGUUUUCUAUUGAGGUUUCGGCUUCUUUAGUGGCUAGCGAGUUUACUUUGAAUAAAUUAGAGUGCUCAGAACAAGCGUUUGCUUGAAUGGUCGAUCAUGGAAUAAUAAAAGAGGACUUCGGUUCUAUUUAUUGGUUCAGGAACUGAAAUAAUGGUUAAGAGGGACAAUUCGGGGGCAUUCGUAUCCCUGCGCGAGAGGUGAAAUUCGUGGACCGCAGGGGGACGCCCUAAAGCGAAAGCAUUUGCCAAGAAUGUCUUCAUUAAUCAAGAACGAAAGUCAGAGGUUCGAAGGCGAUUAGAUACCGCCCUAGUUCUGACCGUAAACUAUGCCAUCUAGCGAUCCGAUGGGGUAUAGUUGCCUUGUCGAGGAGCUUCCCGGAAACGAAAGUCUUUCGGUUCCUGGGGUAGUAUGGUUGCAAAGCUGAAACUUAAAGAAAUUGACGGAAUGGCACCACCAGGAGUGGAGCCUGCGGCUUAAUUUGACUCAACACGGGAAAACUCACCCGGCCCGGACACCGUAAGGAUUGACAGAUUGAAAGCUCUUUCUCGAUUUGGUGGUUGGUGGUGCAUGGCCGUUCUUAGUUGGUGGAGCGAUUUGUCUGGUUUAUUCCGAUAACGAGCGAGACUCUAGCCUGCUAAAUAGUGGCUGGAUUUUUGAGUCCAGUCUACUUCUUAGAGGGAUAAGCGGUGUUUAGCCGCACGAGAUUGAGCGAUAACAGGUCUGUGAUGCCCUUAGAUGUCCGGGGCUGCACGCGCGCUACAAUGGAAGAAUCAGCUGGCCUAUCCAUUGCCGAAAGGCAUUGGUAAACCGUUGAAACUCUUCCGUGACCGGGAUAGGGAAUUGUAAUUAUUUCCC
rnacentral:rRNA from 1 species